ACUAUGCCGUUUUUGCUUAUUUUCCAUCUUAAACGCUUAGUUGAUUCAAGUGAUUAUAUAUUUUAGUGUCCACUACCGAAGUCUAGAGAAGCCGACUGGAGCCGAGACGCUAGUAUGUUGUUUUUAGCGUUAGCAUCCCUAUGAUGGGAUUCUCUGCUAACUUAAUGCUAAUAGUAUCAGUCAUUUUAAAUGUUUUUUGUUGAGUUUUAUGAAUGAAAAUGCUAAUCUAGUACCUUGGUUCAAUCCUUUGGAUUGGUUUAAGCAUUUGUGGUUCAUUUAAAAUCUGAAUGACACAAUGAUCAAUGAUAUUGAAAUGUUGUGUAAAUGUUCUUAAUAUGAAUGGGUGUUUAUUUACAUGCAUUUGAUUAUUUUUGUACAGCUUUCAUUGUCAUUUAACAAUUUUGACAGUUGUGUAUUUUUGAUAUUUUGUGCACACUUGAGGUUUAAAACAUAAAAUUAUGAAUGUAAAACAAGCUAGUAGAUUGAAUAGAAAUUAAAUCAUGGGUCCUGUUUUUUUAAUACAGGCCAGGUGCGACCAGUCAGGUCCAUGAUGGCUGGUACCGAUAUGGAAUUUUGGACAAUGAUCAGGUGAUGAAUUUGGACUAAUCAGGAUUCAGGGCCGCUCUUUACGGGAAGCUCACCUGGAGAGCUGGGGCUUUUCUGCUCUACGCUGACUGACUGUUCGACACACCUGUGUUGCUGCUCUGGGGCAUUUUUCUUUUGUCGAACGGUUUGUGAUGUAAGGACUGGACAAGAAAGAAGAAGGAAAAGAAAAAAA